rnacentral:rRNA from 1 species
UACAGAGGUCCCAAGCGUUGUUCGGAUUCACUGGGCUUAAAGCGUGUGUAGGCGGAUCCGUAAGUACCUUGUGAAAUCCCACGGCUCAACCGUGGAACUGCUCGGUAUACUGCGGAUCUUGAGCCACCUAGGGGCGAGCGGAACAAGUGGUGGAGCGGUGAAAUGCGUAGAUAUCACUUGGAACGCCAAUGGUGAAAACAGCUCGCUGGGGGUGUGCUGACGCUGAGACACGAAAGCCAGGGGAGCGAACGGG